rnacentral:rRNA from 1 species
CUCAUGGUUUCACGGUAUUGCAAUGAGAACAAUUUAAAACCCUUAGCGAGAAUCAAAUGGAGGACAAGUCUGGUGCCAGCACCCGCGGUAAUUCCAGCUCCACUAGCGUAUAUUAAAGUUGUUGCAGUUAAAAAGCUCGUAGUUGAACCUCUGUCUGGGGCUAGUUUUGGCUUUGGUCAGGCUAGUUCUAGGCAUCCGCCUACAAGACUUAGAGGGCAUUCAGUUGUUCACUAGGAGGAGUAGGCAUUUUACUUUGAAAAAAUUAGAGUGUUUAAGGCAGGCAAUCGCCCGCAUAUAUUAGCAUGGAAUAAUAGAAUAGGACACUUUUCCAUUUCGUUGGUUAUUGGAAUCGUGUAAUGAUUAAUAGGGACAGUUGUGGGCAUUUGUAUUUAAUUGUCAGAGGUGAAAUUCUUGGAUUUAUUAAAGACAAACUAACGCGAAAGCAUUUGCCAAGGAUGUUUUCAUUAAUCAAGAACGAAAGUUAGGGGAUCAAAGACGAUCAGAUACCGUCCUAGUCUUAACUAUAAACUAUUCCGACUCAAUGUUUGACUGGCUUAUAUAACCAGUUGAGCGUUGUAUGAGAAAUCAAAGUCUUUAGGUUCUGGGGGGAGUAUGGUUGCAAAGCUGAAACUUAAAGGAAUUGACGGAAGAGCACAACCAGGAGUGGAUUCUGCGGCUUAAUUUGACUCAACACGGGGAAACUUACCAUGUUAAAACAAUAGUGGGAUUGACAGUUUGAGAGCGCUUUCUUGAUUGGUUGGGUGGUGGUGCAUGGCCGUUCUUAGUUGGUGGAGUGAUUUGUCUGCUUAAUUGCGUUAACGAACGAGACCUUAACCUGCUUACUAGACUGGCGAUCAUCAAUCGUUAGCUCUUCUUAGAGGGACUUUGGUUGUUUUAACUCCAAGGAAGUUUGAGGCAAUAACAGGUCUGUGAUGCCCUUAGAUAUCCUGGGCCGCACGCGUCAUACAAUGACUAGUUCAGAAAGUUUUCUCCUGACCCGAAAGGGGAUGGGUAAUCUUGAUAAUACUAGUCGUGUUAGGGAUCGAUCUUUGCAAUUAUAGAUCUUGAACGAGGAAUUCCUAGUAAGUGCGGUUCAUCAGACCGUACUGAUUACGUCCCUGCUCUUUGUACACACCGCCCGUCGCUUCUGCCGAGUGGGUGGUCCGGUGAGAUAAUUGAACUUCGCAGGUAACUGAGAGGAAAGAUUAUCAAACCUAUCCACCU